rnacentral:rRNA from 1 species
AGGUGCGAUCAUACUAGCAUUAAUGCACUCGAUCCCAUCAGAACUCCGCAGUUAAGCGCGCUUGGGCUAGAGUGGUACUAGGAUGGGUGAGCUCCUAGGAAGUCCUAGUGUUGCACAAU